rnacentral:rRNA from 1 species
AUUGAACGCUGGCGGCAGGCCUAACACAUGCAAGUCGAGCGGAUGAAGGGAGCUUGCUCCUGGAUUCAGCGGCGGACGGGUGAGUAAUGCCUAGGAAUCUGCCUGGUAGUGGGGGAUAACGUCCUGAAACGGGCGCUAAUACCGCAUACGUCCUGAGGGAGAAAGUGGGGGAUCUUCGGACCUCACGCUAUCAGAUGAGCCUAGGUCGGAUUAGCUAGUUGGUGGGGUAAAGGCCUACCAAGGCGACGAUCCGUAACUGGUCUGAGAGGAUGAUCAGUCACAUUGGAACUGAGACACGGUCCAGACUCCUACGGGAGGCAGCAGUGGGGAAUAUUGGACAAUGGGCGAAAGCCUGAUCCAGCCAUGCCGCGUGUGUGAAGAAGGUCUUCGGAUUGUAAAGCACUUUAAGUUGGGAGGAAGGGCAGUAAGUUAAUACCUUGCUGUUUUGACGGUACCAACAGAAGAAGCACCGGCUAACUUCGUG